CAGUCGCCACGGGAAUACCAGCUCUCCGAGUGGUGUGGACGUUUAUUGGGCCUAAAGCAUCCGUAGCUGGCUGAACAAGUCCCCUGUUAAACCCACCGAUUUAAUCGUUGGCGUGCGGAGGAUACUGCUUGGCUAGGGGACGAGAGAGGCAGACGGUAUUCCCGGGGUAGGGGUGAAAUCCUAUAAUCCCGAGAAGACCACCAGUGGCGAAGGCUGUCUGCUAGAACGCGCCCGACGGUGAGGGAUGAAAGCUGGGGGAGCGAACCGGAUUAGAUACCCCCGUAGUCCCUGUCUCUUAUAC
rnacentral:rRNA from 1 species